UAUAAGUUGAAUAACUGAUAGAGUAAG
rnacentral:piRNA from 1 species